GGGACGGGAGGCGCGGGAGGGGCCCGGCCCGGGGCCGCGGAGCGGGGAAAAGCCGGGGCCGUCACAUCGCUGAAAUCGCACGGUGUGGGAACCCGUGCCGCGUUUUCUUUCUAAUUUCAAAAAGUGAUCUAUUUAUUUACCUGUUCAGUGAAUUCCGGUGCGUUACCAAGUGCUGCGGUGUUACCAUCCAGUUUGUCUCCAGUAUUUACGUUUUAUGAGGUAAAAAAGGGCUGAGACGCGCUCCAGACCGAGUCCGAGUUACAGUGUGACAACAGUCUUGCUGCUUAAUCUGGAGGUGCAUUAUUAGUCUGGUUUGUUCUGUGCAAACACAUUUAAUGUUCUUGUGGCUAUGUUUUAAUAUGCGUUGUAGGUAUUUUUAAUGAUGCAGUGAUAGUUUGUCAGAUGUAGGGAAAAAAGUAUAAACUUAAAUUGCUGUAUAUCAAAUUAAAGUCUCAUGUUCCAGCUAAGAGCGUCUGACACAGUCCAUUACCCUUUGUCACAUCUCAGCAAUUCUUCCCAAACUUUGCCCUGGCGGCUGCCUGCCCCAAGCUGGUUGGUUGGUUCAUUGAUUGACUGACUGAUUGAUUGAUUGAUUGAGGAGUGCUAGCAGGAAUAGUGCAGCUGCUUUCUUGGGGUGAGAUAAAGGGGAGAUGACCACUUGUGUCCAUACUUACUGCUACUAAGUGUUCAUGUUGGCUUAUAGUUGGAUUGUAACAUGAUGUAGUUGUGUCUGCUUUUUCUUGAUACUUGCCUUGAAAACAGCACAUUAUGGUAAAAUUAAUAUACUUUUGGAAAACCUUUGGUGUAUGUGUGCUUCCUAGAAUAUGUCAGGAAGAUAUUGCCAAGACUUUUCCUGCUUUGGGAGUUUUGUGGUCUUUGAAGAGCUGUUUUUGUGACAAUUUUGGCCGAUGGCUAUCAAAAAUGCAAGUAAACAAGCUGUGACUCCUUUAUGCUUGCUGUUUUUCACGAGCUGGAGAGAAAGAUUAGCAAGGACAAGGUAGGAGCAGCAGUGCUUGACUGCCUGCAAGUGCCUCAACAAUUGAGGACUUGUAGUCUCCAGUUUAAUGUACACAAAAGAACUGACAGUAGGAAAACACUGAAAUUCCAGAGCCACAGGAAAAUCUUGAACCAAAGUUUGUACUUUUAAGACACAAAAUUUACAAAAAGCAGGAGAUCAUCACGACAACUUGCAGGAAAUUGGGAUUUGUUGUUUUAGUUCUCCUAAGGCCAUCUAUUUGAGACUUUUUAUCUUUAUUUUCUAUGGAUGUGAAAUUUGGGCAUAUGACUGUAUUUUUCUGACAGUUCUUAACUACUGAUAAAAGCUGCUGGAAGUUUUAGUAAGCUGUUGCAGCUUUCAGUAAUGUUAAGUUCUUACAGGUGUCAUGAAAGCAGCCACCUGAAAGGAAGAAAGAUUCCUUGUGGCAUGGUUUGGAGGAGAAUUGUCAGAAGAGCUUGGCCUUUCCUCUUUCUGCUGCUGAUGGAACUGCAUUUUGGAGGUUACAUGAAAGGGCUUAGGUUCCCUUAGUCAAGCAGUUAGAUAUUAGCAGAUCCAUAUAAUGAUUUUUUCCCCCAUGCAGUCUGGAAGUUGGGCUAUUUCUUCUCUUGGAUUCUUGUCUUUUCCUUGUCUUCUGUUUUAAUUUUUUUGUUUGGAUGUUUUUUAUCCCUCUCUGCACAGUUCCUCUGUCACAUUCAGUAUAUGGGUGCUGCUGGAUUAGAUGUGACAUGAUAAUCAGAUAGUUGUUUGUGAGAUUGGUGCUGCAUUUGUUACAGAAACUAUGAAUAAGGAGUUAUCUUAGAUUAAUGUUAGCAUAGAGAAUCACAGCAUAGGUUGGCCUGGCCAGGGACCUUAAAGAUCAUCUCGUUCCAAACCCUUGCCAAGGGCAGGAUGCCGCUCACUAGGUCAGGUUUCUCAGCGCCCCAUCCAGCCUGGCCUUGGGCACUUCCAGGGAUGGGGCAUCCACACCCUCUCCUUGCUUUAUGUUGUCUCCUUUCUUCUGUAUAUCCUUCCUUCUGUCUAUCCUUCCUUCUCUGUAUCCUAUUUCUAAUUCUUGUUUCCGGACAGAAGCCCUAGAGGGCAGCAAAGCAGCCAAAGCGUUCAGAAGGUGCAAAUUGGGCCCGUCUGAGGCUUCUCUGUAGGAGCCCGUCGGUUUUUCAUUCUUGGAGAUGAUGCCUUUCUUCUUAAAACGUGUUUCCCACGUCACAGUUUGAGGGGGAAGGCUUGUGUUUGGGCAGGGAUCCUUAGGGUACAAAGUGGAUUGCAACAGAGAGGAAGGAAUUAGGGAAUGGACAAGUUGAAGACAAGGAAGGUGAAGCAGUGGCUUCUUCCCUUUCAGUGAAAUUGCUAAAAAGUAGAUACGGAAGCUCAAAAGGAAACAGCUUUCCCUAUCCAUCAAUUAACUCAGCUUAAAACCUAUACAGCUUCUGAGGAUGCUCCACACAGGGUUGAGACCUUGUGCAAUUUUUGUUGGUGUGGGUUCUUGGAGUUCAUUGCAAACCAGACUGAUUGGAGUGUGGGCUCCUGUGUAUUAUUACCUUACAGUGAGGGUCAAUGAUGGUUUUAACUGUUGAGUGGUGAGCUAGGAGAAGGUUUAAGAGACUGGUUAUUCAGAAGAAACUAAAUUCUUAAAAUGAGGUUUUAACAUGCCUAUAGAAUUGUUUAGGAUGGAAAUGACCUCUAAAAUUGAGUCCAACCACUAACCCAGCACUGCCAAGUCCUUCACUAAACCACAUCCCUAAGUGCCACAUCCAUGCUGCUUUUAAAUACCACCAGGGACGGUGACUCCACUGCUUCCUUGAGCAGCCUGUUGCAAUGCUUGACAACUCUCUCUGUGAAGAAAGUUUUCCAAAUAUCCAAUCUAAACCUCUCCUGGUGCAACUGGAGGCUAUUUCAUCUCAUUCUGAUAUUACCUGUGAGAAGAGACCAAUCCCCACCUGGCCACAGCCUCCUUUCAGGCAGUUGUAGACAUCCAUGAAUGUUCCUCUCGGCCUGCUUCUUUCCAGGCUUAACAACCCCUGCCCACUCAGCUGCUCCUCAUAAAAUUCGUGCUCCAGACCUUUCACCAGCUUCCUCUGGAUGCUCUUCAUACCCCUCGUGUGCCCAUCUCAACUAUAAAUUUCUAACUCAUUAAAUUCUAGGUCAGGGGAAGUAUUGCAGAUCACAUGUUUGUCCUUUUUAUCUUAUGGUGACAGUUUCAUGCUUUCAGUUUUUUUGGAAAGAGCAUUUUGACAGUUUCCUGUCUUGGGAAUGUUGCCUUACACCAUUUAAAAUCUGUGUCUUUAAAUAUUUUUAGAAACAGGUCAACAGAUUUGUGAUGCUUCUCCAGAAAAAUUAUAGAUAGCUGAUGUGUGUUGUGUGAAACCCAGAGAAAAUAGGAUGACUAUGGAAACCUUUUGGCAAUAUCCAGGCUGAAAACUUGUGCUUUAAUGUGAAGGUUUAUAAUUGUUCCAUAAAGGAAAGUAAGCUCUUUGUCGUCAUAACCACAUUAAGAAAAGCAUGCCUGGGAUCAAGGUAAUUUCAGAUAAAUUACACUGCUUGGAGUCUGUUCACGCCUCUGCUGCAAAAUAUAUAGGUGUCAUCCAUCAAAUCCUGUGUUGCUUUUAUAUUAAACACAACUUGGCCUGCUGGGUGCUAAGUGGGAGGCUUAGAGUGGACAGGGUGAGAUUUAUUAGUUCUUUUACACUGAUGGUUGUUGCUGUGUUUCAUUCAACAUUCUUGAAUUCUUCAAGGACAUUUUAGUGGAACCAGUGGAAGAUGGUGGAUUUUCUACAGCUCUAGAAAAUCAGGCUUCAGUCUCAAGCUAGCAUUUAUUAGUAUUUUUGAAUUCUAGUCUUAAUGUGUUAGGGCAGAAGUUAGUAAAGAUUAAAAUGAAACAGCAAAGCAUUUCUUGUCUUUCUACUGUUAAUAUCUCCAAACUUAGAUUUUUUUUCUUUGUUUUCUUUCUUUUUGUAGUGCUGUUUUCCAGUUGAAGAUUUCGAGAGUUAUCUGCUUUCCAGAUCUGAAUGGAAUCCUUCUGCAUCAGAACAGUUGGUAAUUUAUUCUUGGGAGAUGAAGAAAGUAAUUUUGCAGUUCCUUUGAGAAGUUAAAGGACUUCACAGCUGUAGACACUUUUUUCUAUUUAAAUGCCUGUCACCAGGUAUCAUACAUUGCCAAAAUGUGAGACUCAGACUGUGUUGCACAGUAUUAGUGGUAGAUACAUUGAAUGGAGUGGGGAGUGUGAGGACUUGGCACUCUGUUAAAAAUAGUAUUUUGAGAUAAAUUACUUGCUGCACUGUUGGAAGGCUUGUUCAGGAAUGAGCUUAAUGGGUUAGUGCUAACAUCCAUCUUGCCCAGUACUCUGAUCCUGACAGUACUACAGAGGAACUCAUUUUGGAGUGGGUGCCAUAGUCUCCAUUCUGUGUUGGCAAGAGGCCUGUUCUUGGUCUUCUAAAGAUUUUAACUCUGAAGUGUAAAGCUUGGUAUCUUUAAAAAAAGUUCUUAUUCCUAUGGAUGUGUUACGAAACUUCUGUUCCACCUUUACAUAUUUGUGGACUUGUUUCAGUGACUUCCUACAUGUGAAUUUUACUGACACUAUGAUUAUAUUUUUUUCCUUAAAAAUAAAACAUUUUCUCUUUUUCUUGACAGGAGGGACAGCUGUUCCUGCUCAGCCCUUUCAGUAUCAUUGUUUCAUUUCUCUUCAGUUAAUCUAAAUAUCUGGUGAGCUGUACUGUUUGUAAAAAGUAAAGAGUUCUGUGUCCAUUUGAAUAUGAUAACUCACUGUGGGAAAAGCUGAGUGUAGCUGACUUCAUCUUGUGAUACAUUGGUAACUCAGGACAACAGGUAAUUUCAGAAAUUAUGUCUACAGAUUUCUAUAUUAUCUAUUAAAUGAUGUCUACGGAUACCAUUUAACCACUUAUAUUUUUGCAUACCCUUUUUAAAGGAGAUUUUGGUAACAGCUGGCAGUAUGUCUUUGAAUUAGAGCAUUGACAUUCAGUAUUGUCAGCGAAGAUUCUCAGACUGUGUAUGAAGAUCUUGUGUAUGUGGCUGAAGUGGUAGCACCUCUUCACAAAUAAUUUGGGUUUUGGGCGAGUUGUUUCCCACAAAAAGGAAAAAAUAUAUUGAAAUUAUUUUGGUAAGCUAGCGUGCUUUUGCUUUGUCCUCUUUCACUUUUGCAUAGUUACCUAAAGCACUUUUCAUAGGACUGUUCAGCAGAAAGCAGAGGUCACCUAAUUGAUACUUAAAGUUGUUGAACUUAUGUAAGAAAUGUAGUUUGGUUCUCCUGCACAAUGUUUACAUUUUGUGUGUUUGUUGUGGUUUGGGAGGGGUUUUGUUUGUUUUUCUAAAUGCAAAGCAAGUGCUUUGAUUCCAUGUGGUUGGGGAAACUGUGCUAAACUUAGGCUUUACUCUUGUCAGGUUGCCUGUCCCUGUGCUAACUUCAAAACUUGAAGAGGUGACCAUUUGCUGUGAGAAAAGUCUACACUGCUUCUUAGACGUCGCUGUGUUAUGGAGCUGUGCUGGAUUUUGAAGGUUUUUUUUUUUUUUUUGGAGGAGAGGUUGAUUUCUGGCUGUUGAUGAACCUUCCAUAAUUGAAAAGUACAAGGAACUGGUAUGGUAAAGUCUUAAGACCCCAGAAAUAAUUGGACCUUUAGGAACCUCAGGCUGAACUUGGUGAUUAUCUCAAGAUAGUGUAGAAAUAAAUGGAACAGUUUCAGUGAGAUGCACAGAUAUCUUCUCAAAGUCUUUCCUUUUGAUGGACACAUGUGCUUGUUAAACUACUGACUUGCCUUAGUUUUAAGGACUUUUGUUUCUCAUGUCUCUUUCCACAAGACAGCAAAUAAGGUUAAUCACAAGCAACUAAGUAUUCAUGGAUGUUAUUACUUAACAGGAGGCCUUUGCCUGCAUUCCUUUGGGGGUAAGAAUUUGUACAAUAAUGACUGCUUUAUUGAUUUGAAUGUAAAAAUAAAUAAAUAAAAAUAUAAUUGUUCCUCUGCCUUA